rnacentral:rRNA from 1 species
AUUGAACGCUGGCGGCAGGCCUAACACAUGCAAGUCGAGCGGGGUUUUCGGACCUAGCGGCGGACGGGUGAGUAAUGCGUAGGAAGCUACCCGAUAGAGGGGGAUACCAGUUGGAAACGACUGUUAAUACCGCAUAAUGUCUACGGACCAAAGUGUGGGACCUUCGGGCCACAUGCUAUCGGAUGUGCCUACGUGGGAUUAGCUAGUUGGUGAGGUAAUGGCUCACCAAGGCGACGAUCCCUAGCGGGUUUGAGAGGAUGAUCAGCCACACUGGAACUGAGACACGGUCCAGACUCCUACGGGAGGCAGCAGUGGGGAAUAUUGGACAAUGGGCGCAAGCCUGAUCCAGCCAUGCCGCGUGUGUGAAGAAGGCCUUCGGGUUGUAAAGCACUUCCAGUAAGGAGGAAGCGUUGAGUGUUAAUAGUACUCAGCGUUGACGUUACUUACAGAAGAAGCACCGGCUAACUCUGUGCCAGCCGCCGCAGUAAGAC